AGCCGGGCCCCCCAGGAUCUGAAGGCCUCCCAGGCCCCCCAGGCCCAGCGGGUCCCAGAGGAGAGCGAGGACCCCAAGGUAACUCCGGUGAGAAGGGCGACCAGGGAUUUCAAGGCCAGCCAGGCUUUCCGGGCCCACCGGGUCCCCCUGGAUUCCCAGGCAAAGUUGGAUCACCUGGCCCACCUGGCCCUCAAGCAGAGAAGG
rnacentral:misc_RNA from 1 species